GGUGUCCGCCUACUCCACAAAAUAGACGGGCAUACAUACGAAAAGGAGGUUACCUGUUCCGCAGGGCCCGCGGUGCGGCAGUGUGGAGACCUGUCGUAAUGUGGUUCGCUCUUCACCGGGCGACACGAGGGCACGGCAAAGGACCGUCGUGCUCAGGGUCAGACGCAAUGGCA
rnacentral:ncRNA from 1 species